rnacentral:rRNA from 1 species
GGCUCUCUGAGUUAGAUGAAUAGAGAGUUGGACCUGCCCAGUGAAAUAUUUUAACGGCCGCGGUACUCUGACCGUGCAAAGGUAGCAUAAUCAUUUGCCUUAUAAUUGAAGGCUUGUAUGAAUGGUUUGACAAGAAUACAGCUGUCUCUACAAAAUUUUAUAGAAUUUGAUAUUGAAGUGAAGAAGCUUGAAUAUUAUUAAUAGACAAGAAGACCCUAUCGAGCUUGAAAAAAUAUAUUAAAGGUUAUUAAAUAAAAAUUAAAAAAUUAUUUAUCAUGUAUUUUGGUUGGGGCGACUUAGGAACAAUAAAAGCUUCCUAAAAUUUUUAUAUAAUAACAAAUGAUCCAAAAUUUUUUGAUUAAGGAAAUUAGUUACCGUAGGGAUAACAGCAUUAUCUUCUUUAAGAGUUCAUAUCGAAAAGAGGGUUUGUGACCUCGAUGUUGGACCAGAAUAUCCUAAAGAUGUAGCAGUCUUUAAGGGUUGGUCUGUUCGACCAUUAAAAUUCUACG